UACGUAGGGUGCAAGCGUUGCCCGGAUUCAUUGGGCGUAAAGCGCGCGCAGGCGGCCUUCCAAGUCCCGCGUGAAAUCGCCCGGCUCAACCGGGCGGGGUCGCGGGAGACUGGGGGGCUCGAGCGAGGGAGGGGGCAGUGGAAUUCCCGGUGUAGUGGUGGAAUGCGUAGAUAUCGGGAGGAACACCAGUGGCGAAGGCGGCUGCCUGGACCUCUGCUGACGCUGAGGCGCGAAAGCGUGGGGAGCGAUCAGG
rnacentral:rRNA from 1 species